rnacentral:rRNA from 1 species
UACGGAGGGUGCGAGCGUUGUCCGGAAUCACUGGGCGUAAAGGGCGCGUAGGUGGCCCGUCAAGCGCGCGGUGAAAGCCCGGGGCUCAACCCCGGGUCGGCCGUGCGGACUGGCGGGCUCGAGCACUGUAGGGGCGGGUGGAAUUCCGGGUGUAGCGGUGGAAUGCGCAGAUAUCAGGAGGAACACCGGUGGCGAAGGCGGUUCUCUGGGCAUUACCUGACGCUGAGGAGCGAAAGUGUGGGGAGCGAACAGG